ACUCAUGCAUCCAGUAUUUGGUUAGGAGCCCAUCCCAGGGCUCACUUCCCUUUAUCUUACUUUUGGAAAACAUUUGUGAUACAUAUACUGAUACAAAUUUACAUAUAUGCUGAUCCUCCACAUGUGCAGAGACAGUAACCACUGCAUCUUCCUUUAGUGACUAAAUGUUCAAUGCAAAUACCGUAGGUCAUAAAAUGAGUGAACAACUGUUGCUUGUUAGUUGUCAGAGUUAAAUACAACAAAUGCAACAAUAUGAGGAACUAUUCUUCUGGUAAUGAAGUAUCAUCAGCUUGUUACAAGUAUAUGGUGGGAAAGGUCAAAACCUGAUCCACCUCCUUUUGUGACUAGCUUGUUGCUAAAGUCAAAUAUCAAUUGCCUCAGCAUCAGGGAUCGCGCCUACUACAGAGGGAGUACAUCAAAAUUCCAAGAGGCUCCUCAACAAGCUGCAAAGUAGCAAUUUGAGUU